UCACAAGCAGACAUUGUUUACGACUGUAGCAAAGUGUUGUAUUGUAGCGCAACAUUAUUCACUUUUUCUUGUUUUUUUCAUGAAGGAAAUCACGAAAAAUGUGGGCACAAAAUUAAAGCACACAGGUCACCAAGAGCAAACUGCUCUGAUACCAUAUUAAACUAAACAUGGUAAAUACCAAUUUAAACUAAACAUGGUAAAUACCAAUUUAAACUAAACAUGGUAAAUACCAAUUUAAACUAAACAUGGUAAAUACCAAAAAUACAUAUGACAAUAUUUGAGAAUUUCUUAUAUAUUCAUUAAUCUCCAAAGUGGAGUAUAUAUAGGAGUUAUAAUUGGUAUUACAUAUGUACUUCACCAAUGUGGGACAAUAAACUACUAUUUAAACUUUAACUAAUAUAUAACUCGCAACACAUUAAAGAAAGUAUUGUGCUAUAACAUCAAUCUAUCAAUCGAUCACACUAUAUAAGCAGAUACCUCUCCGUAAAUUUUAUGAUUCACAAGACAAUGGCAUCACGCAAGUUUCAAUUUGUUGUCAUUUUCCUCCUGAUUUCUCUUGUUGUAUCUGCUCAUUGCGCUGGUAAAAUUGUCUACUCUCUUUGUAAAUAUUUUUUUACAUUGUUACGUUCGACGAUCCAUAUUUCUCUACCUACAAAUCAUACACGUAUAAAUAACUUAGUAAAAACUCAUAAUUUUUGUCUAUAUGUUAGUCAAAUCACAAUUUGUAGGUGAGAAGGAAUUUGCUCCUUCUCAAUGAGGAGUCAAGUUCUUUGGUUUUUUAGGGUUUCCAAAUCUCUUUACUUAUAAGGAUUUACAAGUAUUUAGAUCUAGCAUCAUUUGAAUUUCAAUACAUUAUGUCUCACUUGUAAGUAUUGUAGUCAAAUCUUACAUUAUAAAUUAAACGUCUUUAACACGAGUCAUGCGGAUAGUGAAAACAAGAGAGAAUGUUUCAUCAUUUGCUUGUAUAUCAUGUUAUGAUUUGAGCUUGGAUGAUGUUAGGAACACUACUUGUAUUCCCCUUUUGGGGAUGAUCUCAUUCCCCAACAAUCUUUAUCAUUGUAAUUCAUAAUCAGAACCGUUUAAUUUCUUACUUUUCAUUUGAUGAUCAUCCCAAUACAAAAAUUAUUCAAAUAGAAAGUCGCUUAGUCAUUCAAAUGUAACAGAUAAACAACGGUAUAAGUAUCAAGAAACAAGUUAAUGAUAAAUCGUUAGUUUAUUUGAUAUAUAUGACUAAACGAUACUAUCAAACAACUAAUGGUGGGGCAACACUGUCAAACUACAAGUAGUCUCCUGAGGAUUUUCCCUCAAUAUAAAAGGUCAAAUAAGAUCCACAAGCUUCCUCCAUUACCGGAAUUUAACUAUGAAAAGUAAAAUUAUAAGCUUACGUUGCCAUAUGAUAUGAAAGAAAGAAAAACAUCAGACGCAUCUCAGUUGGGAUGAAACGCAAGAAAAUUAAGAUUUGGCCCAAGUGGAUAUGAAGGUACAUCAAAGUCAAACACAUGACUGAUAGAAAUACACUUAACCAACAAAACUAAAAAAAUAACGUACUUUUUUCCAAAGUUGAGUUGAGCUUUGAGCAAUUUUAUUCAAACUCACAAUUGUUUCUUUACAUCCAAUUCAUCAUUUUCUCUAAAUCGUAAUCUUUUUGUGA
rnacentral:lncRNA from 1 species